AUUUAUUUUAUUUGUAUGUCUACGUGUGCGUAUGUAUGAUUGAAUGUUGAUAUGAACCUGUGAUUGACCUUGACCUUUCACAUUUUAAUAAAUUUUCCCUUGCCUUGCCCGACACUUACCCUACUUUGUGCAUUGCAGUGCAUGUAAAUUAAUACACUUUUAUACACAUUUAAAAGCAUACAUACACUUGAUAGUCUAUAAGCGAACCAGAUAUAGAUAGCGAUAUAUAGAUACAUUUGAGUGAACUCAUAGAUUGAGACAAGAAGACAUAUUUGAUAUUUGAUCCGAGGAUAUGUAUGUAAGUAACCCAAGCCCAUACAUAUAAAACUUACAUUACACAGUAGGCUUCGGUUACACAGUAAAACUUAGUAUAGUUGUGUUGUGGUCCAACCUUAGUUGUAUUUGUUGUCACUGUUGCUUAUACUUAUACUUGUACUUUAACUUUACUUUAUAUUCUAUCUACUUUACUUUGAUCUAUUGAUGAACUAAUCUUUACUUUAGUUUUGUUCAUAUUUAUUUAUAUAUAGUACUUGUGUCAUAUUUGUAUAUAUUCAUACUUGUGUUUAGAUAUUUACAUACUUGAUAUACUUAUUCAUUACUUUUCAUCAGGGUAGAUAAUCUGCACUAUUAUUGAGUUGUCUUUCUUUGCAUAUUGUGUUUAUCAUACUUAGGCUAUUAAUUUUUUUUUUUGUAAUUUCAGAAAAUUAAUUGUACUUUAUAAUUUCAGAUUACUAUACUAUUAGAUAGCUG
rnacentral:lncRNA from 1 species